CCCAGUUCGGACUGGAGUCUGCAACCCGACUCCACGAAGUUGGAUUCGCUAGUAAUCGCGCAUCAGCCAUGGCGCGGUGAAUACGUUCCCGGGCCUUGUACACACCGCCCGUCAAGCCAUGGGAGCCGGGGGCGCCUGAAGUCCGGGACCGCGAGGACCGGCCUAAGGCGAGACUGGUGACUGGGGCUAAGUCGUAACAAGGUAAC
rnacentral:rRNA from 1 species